rnacentral:lncRNA from 1 species
GACAUGGUGUUUUGAUCUUGGUUAAUUAAUCUCUUAUGGCUAUGGAGAAAUUCAGCAACCUAGUUGUAAACAUGGUGUUUAGAAUUAGGCGUAAAUGUUGUCUUUGCUUAUAUGCUUUCCUCUCAUAUGCAUAUAAACCUUGCACUCACGUACACCCAUUAGGUUUCUUUCUUUUCACUAGACUAAUUUUGCCACAUGCUAAGAAUCUUAGGAUGUGUUAUU